AUUGAACGCUGGCGGCAUGCUUUACACAUGCAAGUCGAACGGCAGCGCGGGCUUCGGCCUGGCGGCGCGUGGCGGACGGGUGAGUAAUGCAUCGGAACGUGACCAGUAGUGGGGGAUAGGCCGGCGAAAGCCGGCUUAAUACCGCAUACGACAUUAGGGUGAAAGCGGGGGACCGAAAGGCAACGAGCUAUUGGAGCGGCCGUUGACGGAUUAGCUAGUUGGUGGGGUAACGGCUUACCAAGGCGACGAUCCGUAGCUGGUCUGAGAGGACGACCAGCCACACUGGAACUGAGACACGGCCCAGACUCCUACGGGAGGCAGCAGUGGGGAAUCUUGCACAAUGGGCGCAACCCUGAUGCAGCCAUGCCGCGUGCGUGAUGAAGGCCUUCGGGUUGUAAACCGCUUUUGUUCGGGAAGAACACCUCUGUGCUAAUCCCCCCGCGGGAUGACGGUACCGGAACAGAAAGCACCGGCUAACUACGUG
rnacentral:rRNA from 1 species